GAAAUGUGAUACUUGGUGUGAAUUGCAGAAUCCCGUGAACCAUCGAGUCUUUGAACGUAAGUUACGCCCCCAGCCAUUAGGCCGAGGGCACGUCUGCCUGGGUGUCACGUAUCGUCGCCCCCAUCCAACCCCGAUCCCACGGGACUCGGUUGGAUUGCGGGCGGAAAUUGGCCUCCCGUGGCUCAUAGCCAGCGGUUGGCCUAAAUUUGAGUCCUCAACGGCAUAAUCGUCGUGACAAUCAGUGGUAAUACUGUAAGCAACCUCGUUCAGAGUCGUGCGCGUUUGUUGAUCGAGACCCUUAAACCCUUUCGGCAUCGCAUCGCGACCCCAGGUCAGGCGGGAUUACCCGCUGAGUUUAA
rnacentral:misc_RNA from 1 species